UGUUCUGUGACUUGGUUGGUUAAAGCGCCGGUCUAGCGAAUACGGAGUUGUGGGUUCAAAUCUCACCAGAACGU
rnacentral:tRNA from 1 species